rnacentral:rRNA from 1 species
UGGGGAAUAUUGCACAAUGGAGGGAACUCUGAUGCAGCGACGCCGCGUGAACGAAGAAGGCUUUCGAGUCGUAAAGUUCUUUUAUAUGGGAAGAUAAUGAUGGUACCAUAAGAAAAAGCCCCGGCUAACUACGUGCCAGCAGCCGCGGUAAUACGGAGGAUGCGAGCGUUAUCCGGAAUUAUUGGGUUUAAAGGGUGCGUAGGUUGCAAGGGAAGUCAGGGGUGAAAAGCUAUAGCUCAACUAUGGUCUUGCCUUUGAAACUCUCUAGCUAGAGUGUACUGGAGGUACGUGGAACGUGUGGUGUAGCGGUGAAAUGCAUAGAUAUCACACAGAACUCCGAUUGCGCAGGCAGCGUACUACAUGACAACUGACACUGAAGCACGAAAGCGUGGGUAUCAAACAGG